GAUGAACGCUGGCGGCGUGCCUAAUACAUGCCAGUCGAGCGAACAGAUGAGGAGCUUGCUCCUCUGACGUUAGCGGCGGACGGGUGAGUAACACGUGGAUAACCUACCUAUAAGACUGGGAUAACUUCGGGAAACCGGAGCUAAUACCGGAUAAUAUAUUGAACCGCAUGGUUCAAUAGUGAAAGACGGUUUUGCUGUCACUUAUAGAUGGAUCCGCACCGCAUUAGCUAGUUGGUAAGGUAACGGCUUACCAAGGCAACGAUGCGUAGCCGACCUGAGAGGGUGAUCGGCCACACUGGAACUGAGACACGGUCCAGACUCCUACGGGAGGCAGCAGUAGGGAAUCUUCCGCAAUGGGCGAAAGCUUGACGGAGCAACGCCGCGUGAGUGAUGAAGGUCUUCGGAUCGUAAAACUCUGUUAUUAGGGAAGAACAAAUGUGUAAGUAACUAUGCACGUCUUGACGGUACCUAAUCAGAAAGCCACGGCUAACUACGUG
rnacentral:rRNA from 1 species